rnacentral:rRNA from 1 species
CCUACGGGAGGCAGCAGUGAGGAAUAUUGGUCAAUGGGCGCGAGCCUGAACCAGCAACGUAGCGUGAGGGAUGACUGCCCUACGGGUUGUAAACUUCUUUUAUAAAGGAAUAAAGUGAGUCACGUGUGCCUUUUUGUCUGUACUUUAUGUAUCAGGAUCGGCUAACCCCGUUCCAGCAGCCGCGGUAAUAUGGAGGGUCCGUGCGUUAUCCGGAUUUAUUGGGUUUAAAGGGAGCGUAGAUGGGUUGUUAAGUCAGGUGUGAAAGUUUGCGGCUCAACCGGAAAAGUGCAAUUGAUACUGGCAGUCUUGAGUACAGUUGAGGUAAGCGGAAUUCGUGGUGUAGCGGUGAAAUGCGUAGAUAUCAGGAAGAACUCCGAUUGCGAAGGCAGCUUACUAAUCUGCCACUGACAUUGAGGCUCGAAAGUGUGGGUAGCAAACAGGAUUAGAUACCCGUGUAGUC